ACCUUAAAAUAGCAUAAAGGUUUACAAAAUGAAAACUAGUUAUGAUUCUCUUUACUUUAAAUCAUAUCAAAGUGAACAGCUAUGGAUUUCAUGUAUUAUCUUUAGAUUAAAAGAUCAGGCUUUUCUUGAAAUCAUGUUAUAGAACAUAUUUACUGGAGAUUAAGAGCAUAAACUUCUUGUAAAUUCAGUACUUAUACUUAGGACUUGGAAU
rnacentral:lncRNA from 1 species